CUGCUGGGCAGGUUGAGCUUUAAAUUCAGUGUGUGGCUGUAUAGCUAUCAGCGCACUGGAGCAUCAUGGAAAGAGAGUUUCUCUUAGCCAUGUUAGUCCUUGUUGCCACCGACAUUACGAUUGCGAUGUCUCCGGAUACGAGAGGUCAUAGGCCUUUGAAUAUCAAGGACUUCGUGAACACGUCUCAGAAAAUAUGGACGUACAAAACAACCAACAGGACCCAUGUCCAAUGCGAAGUCGAUCAACGCGAAGCGAUAAGUCGUUCGUCCAUUGUUUUUAAAAGAUCUUUCGUAAUCGGCAGAACUCGGUGUGACAUGCAGAUACGGGGGCUGUUUGAUACAUACCACAAACGGCGGAUGACUCUCUUUCAAAAGAGGUUGGCAUAAAUAAUGCACUCGUUCAAAGUAAACAGGGAACUCGAAUAUUCCAGCAGGACGUUAUCGACAAUGUGGUGUUAUGAAACAACAACCAUUUAUUUGCGAACCAAAAGCACUUUGACCGUUUCUAUCGAGCAGCCUACGCCUAGCCGCACUCGCGGUAGCCUCCUUGAUUUACUAA